ACACCCCAGCUGCGUGAUUAGUGUGAAUUGCAGGACACAUCGAGCAUCGACAUCUUGAACGCACAUGGCGGCCUCGGGCACUCUCGGGGCCGCGCCCGUCUGAGGGUCGGUUUUGCAUUCGAGUCGCGAGCAGUCGUCUCGCGCUUUGCCUGUCGCGCCGGCAGGCUCCUGCUGUCAGCAUCGUGCUAGCAGCAAGGAGUCCGCAUGGCUCGUCGGGUUAAAACGAGAUUGGGGUUCACAGUCGUGAACGCGCGUGCUCGUGCCAGCGUGCGUGUUGCAGCACCACUGCAGACGCGUGCCACUGGGCGGCCACGGACGGUCACUCGCGGUUGCCAGAUAGACCAACGAGCGAGCCUCCGUCGAGCAGCCGAGCGUCUAGCGGACAUGCACACGGCCGCAGCCACGAGUCUUUUGCUUUUCGACCUCAGAUCGGACGCGAUUACCCGCUGAAUUUAAGCAUAUCACUAAGCGGAGGAAAAGAAACUAACAAGGAUUCCCGU
rnacentral:rRNA from 1 species